UACGUAGGGCGCAAGCGUUGUCCGGAAUUAUUGGGCGUAAAGAGCUCGUAGGUGGUUUGUUACGUCUGCUGUGAAAACCUAGGGCUUAACCCUGGGCCUGCAGUGGAUACGGGCAGACUAGAGGUAGGUAGGGGAGAAUGGAAUUCCCGGUGUAGCGGUGAAAUGCGCAGAUAUCGGGAGGAACACCGGUGGCGAAGGCGGCCUUCUGGACCAAUACUGACGCUCAUGCACGAAAGCGUGGGGAGCAAACAGG
rnacentral:rRNA from 1 species